rnacentral:rRNA from 1 species
AUCGAUGAAGAACGCAGCGAAAUGCGAUAAGUAAUGUGAAUUGCAGAAUUCAGUGAAUCAUCGAAUCUUUGAACGCACCUUGCGCUCCUUGGUAUUCCGAGGAGCAUGCCUGUUUGAGUGUCAUUAAUAUAUCAACCUCUUCAGCUUUUGCUUGUUGAGUGUUGGAUGUGGGGGUUUUUUGCUGGUCUUUCUAAAGAAGUCAGCUCCCCUAAAAUGUAUUAGCGGAACAAUUUGUUGACCGUUCAUUGGUGUGAUAAUUAUCUACGCUAUUAACGUGAGGCAGUUCAGCUUCUAACAGUCCGUUGACUUGGACAGUUUUUCAUUAAUGUGACCUCAAAUCAGGUAGGACUACCCGCUGAACUUAAGCAUAUCAAUAAGCGGAGGAAAAGAAACUAACAAGGAUUCCCCUAGUAACUGCGAGUGAAGCGGGAAAAGCUCAAAUUUAAAAUCUGUCAGUCUUUGGCUGUCCGAGUUGUAAUCUAGAGAAGUGUUAUCCGCGCUGGACCGUGUACAAGUCUCCUGGAAUGGAGCGUCAUAGAGGGUGAGAAUCCCGUCUCUGACACGGACUACCAGGGCUUUGUGAUGCGCUCUCAAAGAGUCGAGUUGUUUGGGAAUGCAGCUCAAAAUGGGUGGUAAAUUCCAUCUAAAGCUAAAUAUUGGCGAGAGACCGAUAGCGAACAAGUACCGUGAGGGAAAGAUGAAAAGAACUUUGGAAAGAGAGUUAAACAGUACGUGAAAUUGCUGAAAGGGAAACGCUUGAAGUCAGUCGCGUUGUCCAGGGAUCAACCUUGCUUUUGCUUGGUGUACUUUCUGGUUAACGGGUCAGCAUCAAUUUUGAUCAUUGGAAAAAGGUUAGGGGAAUGUGGCAUCUUUGGAUGUGUUAUAGCCCUUGAUUGCAUACAAUGGUUGGGAUUGAGGAACUCAGCACGCCGCAAGGCCGGGUUUUUAACCACGUACGUGCUUAGGAUGCUGGCAUAAUGGCUUUAAUCGACCCGUCUUGAAACACGG